rnacentral:rRNA from 1 species
UACGAAGGGGACUAGCGUUGUUCGGAAUUACUGGGCGUAAAGGGCGCGUAGGCGGCUUUGUAAGUCGGGGGUGAAAGCCUGUGGCUCAACCACAGAAUUGCCUUCGAUACUGCAUGGCUUGAGACCGGAAGAGGUAAGUGGAACUGCGAGUGUAGAGGUGAAAUUCGUAGAUAUUCGCAAGAACACCAGUGGCGAAGGCGGCUUACUGGUCCGGUUCUGACGCUGAGGCGCGAAAGCGUGGGGAGCAAACAGG